rnacentral:rRNA from 1 species
AGCUCAGCGUCGAAGCCGUGUUGACUACCGUUAACAUGGUACUGUGACGUAUAGAGGUGUUCAUGUGCGUUUUGUUGAUGGUACGAAUUUCCCUUGACUAGGAAUCCAAAGCGGGUGCAAGACCUGUACGUGCUGUUAGCUUUUCGUACGCGUUCAUUUCUUGGAGUAGGAUUGUUUGAGAUCGCAGUCCGAAGUAGGUGGUAUUUUUCAUCUAAAGCUAAAUAUGACUAUGAAUCCGAUAGCGAACAAGUACCGUGAGGGAAAGUUGCAAAGUACUUUGAAGAGAGAGUUCAAAAGGACGUGAAACCGAUAGGGUGGAAGCAGAUAAAAUUGACGAACGGGUGUCGUAUUCAGGAUUGCAUCUUGUGUGCAGUUUGUUCUUACGGCCGUUGUGGGCUGGCGGCUUUGGUUAAUGCAAUGUGUUUGGCAUCGAAGGUGACCCUGUGGAGGGACUUUCAUUCGUUGUGCGAUGCUUGGUAUAGCUAAGGUAAUCGCUGGUCUUGAAGUCAGUGAUUUAUCUGACCCGUCUUGAAACACGGACCAAGGAGUGUACUGUUUGCGCAAGUCUUAGAGUGUGUUGAAACUUUGAGGCGCAACGAAAGUGAAUAUAGCUGGAUCUAUUGUCUUGGGAUAUGUUGUCUCUUGUGGACGGCAUUGGACCAUGGUUUUAUCGCGAUCGCUUGCGGUGCGGUGAAAAUUGAGCGUAAACAGUGCGACCCGAAAGAUGGUGAACUAUGCCUGAGCAGGAUGAAGCCGGAGGAAACUCUGGUGGAAGUCCGAAGCGGUUCUGACGUGCAAAUCGAUCGUCUGACUU